UCCAUUUUAUGAAAUUCUAUUACCUAAAAUCAGGAUAUUAUCUCAGAGAACAAAUGACCACCUACUUAAAAUUUGUUGAUUCAGAAAUGGCUCAUCCUUACUACUGCAAACCUCAAUCUCAUUUUAUCUAUACCACAAAUAUCAAUGACAGCCAAUGAGGUAUUUCGAAUAUGUUUAUACAAACAGUUGCACACGCAGUAUUUGCUGAGUAUUUACUUUGUACCAGGCACUGUGCUAAGUGCUGUGACACUGGAGAUACAGUGGUAACAAGACAGUUGAGAUGUGUGCUGUCCUGGUGCUCACAUUCCACUACAGAAAGAAAGAAAACACACAAGUGAACCAUACAGCAUUUUAGUUAUUGAAGUGCUAAGGAGGAAACACAGAGAGAAGGCUAAAGCGUAGAGUGGCUGCAUCUUAGAAGCAGCACUGUUUUGGAUGGGGCCCUUAGGAAUGACCUUGCUGAAAAGGAACAACAGAAGUCUAGGGGAAGCUUUCCAGGGGUGGAAGUAUUGAGUGUCAUGUCUUUGUCAAAGUUAAAAAGUUGGUAUGUACCAGGAACAGCAAGAAGCCUGUGCAGCUGUAGGAAGGACAGAGAGAGAGAGAGAGAGAAAGAGAGAGAGAGAGAAGGAAAGAGAGGGAGAGGGGACAUAUGUGUAGGUAUAUUUCUAUGCACAGAAAUCAAUAUUAUAAAGCAUUUUUUGCAGAAUUUGGAUUUUAUUUAUAAUGUGAAUGAUACCCACAGGAGGAGUUCAAUAAGCAGGGAUAUAUUAUGAUCAAAGACCAAUUAGGAGGCGAUAAAUGCAAGGUUUCUAAAAAAGAUGUCUAUUAAAGCAUCUUUAGGAGUACAACCCUUAUGAAUAGGUAAUUUUAAGAUUUUGAGAAUGUGAUCUGUCUUGAACGCAAUAACAAAUGAAAAAUACUAUUUAAUAUCUUUUAUUUUAUUAAUUAAUUUAUUUCAAUUUUACUUAUUAUUUGAGGAAGUGUUUCACUCUGUCACCUAGGCUGGAAUGCAGUGGCAUGAUCAUAGCUCAUUGCAGCCUCGACCUGUCAGGCUCAAGUGAUCCUCUGGCCUCAGCCCUCGAGUAGCUGGGACUACAGGCAUGCAUCACCAUGCCUGGCUAAUUUUUUUACUUUUUGUAGAGAUGGGGUUUUGCCAUGUUGCCCAGGCUCUUCUCAAGUGGUUUCUACACCUCAACUUUGCAAAGUGCUAAGAUUACAUGUAUAAGCCACCACACCAAGCUUAUUUAUUGAGGAAAUUUAUAUAUAACACAAACUUGACUAUUUUAACCAUUUUAAGUGGACAGUUCUUUGCCAUUAACUACAUUCACAUUGUACAACCAACACCACUCUCCAUCUUCAGAACUUUUCACCUUCUCUAAAACUUUGUACCUUGUAUACUCUGACUCUCCAUUCUUCCCUUCCUUCAGCACUCUACUUUCUGUCUCUAUGAAUUUGACAACUCUAGUCACUUCAUAUAAGUGAAAUCAUACAAUAUUUGUUCUUUUGUGACUGGAUUAUUUCACUUAGCAUAAUGUCUCCAAGGUUCAUCCAUUUUGUAACAUGUGUCAGAAAUUUGUUCCUUUUUAAGUCUGAAAAAUAUUCCAUUGUACGGUUAUACCACAUUUUGUUUAUUCACUUAUCCACUGAUAAGUGGUACUUGUGAAUAGUGCUAUGAAUUAUUUGGCUUGUGAAUGAUGCUUGUGAAUAGUGGUACUAUGAACGCCAGUGUGCAAAUAUCUGUUCUUACCUUACAUUUUAAGGUACAGUUUUUCUGAAUUCUAACAAAAUAAAUUCUGAUCAGAAUAAUAAAACAAAUGUAAAAUAAAAUGUAUUGAUAAAUAAUCUUAUUUAUUUCAUUAUGUAUAUAAUAUUGGAGAACAAAAUAAGAUUGGAAUGUUUUCCAUUGCAGUGAGGUAGAAAUAACAUACUUAUUUUAAAGCCACAAUGUGGUUUGCAUUUUUUUCUUCACAGAGCACCUAAACAUAAUAUAAAAAUAUAGAAUUUACAUAUAAGGAUUAAACCAUUCUUCAAAGUUUUUAAAAAACAGUUAUUAUACAUUUAUGUGUUCUAAAGGUAGCUAAGUAAUAAGUAUAAUUAAAAAUCUAAAUCAAUUCCUAUAUUUACGAAACAGGUCAACUAAGACAUAUGUAAUCAGCCUGUAAAAUGACUCAUUUAUUGUUUUCUGACUAUAAGAGCAAUACAUGAUCAUUCAUUCUCUUAUUAUAGGGAAUUUGGAAAAUAGAGAAAACACAGUAAAUUACUGCCACCCCAUCAUCUGAUAAUAAGUAUUUUGGUUUAUACCUUUUUAGUCUUUUUUUUCUAUGUAUAUUUUCACUGCAAAACAGUUGUGUCUAUAUUGUUUUGUAAGAUCCUUUCUCUCCUCCUCCUCCUUUCCUUCUUUUCCUUCCUCUCCUCUCUCCUCCUUACCUUGGUUCCUCUUGUUCAACUAAUAAUGUGUUAAAAGCAUUUCCUAUUAUUAUGACUUCUUAGCAGACCAGUUUUCACUGAAAAACCUUUAAGAUAUAGUAUGACCUGGUGGUUAAGACGAGGUUUGGGAGCUAGAUUGCAUGAGUCCAAAGUUGGCUCUGCCACUUGCUAGGUGUGUGACCUCAGGCAAUUUAUUCAAAUUAGUUACCUCUUUUCCUCAUCAUAAAAUGGGCGAUAAACAUAAUACUUCGUACAGUUGCUGUGAGUACUCAACAAAAUAAUAUUAACGAACUCCUCCUUAAAACAAUACCUCCAAAGAAGCACUCCAAAUGUUCGUUAUUAUUAUUUAACAUACAUCUAUUUUUGAAUAUGCUUAUAUAUAACGUAUGAAUAAUAUAUUACUCUAUUACUUUAAAGUUCAAAGAACAUGUACAAUUAUUUAAUCAAGUGUUAAAUAAUUUGACAAAUCUUCAGAAAUUUCUAUGGCAAAAUAUGUUUACUGUGAUUCUAAAGCUUUAGCAUGCCUACGAUUACCUGGAAUGUUGAAUGGAAAUGCUUCCCCUGGGAUUCUAAUUUAGAGGAUCCGGAUUAGGAGUACAGAGUAUUAGUGCUGUGCUUUGAAAAAUGUGAACUAGAUUAAUCUCCAAUUGAAUCCAGUAAGCCAGUCACUGUCAUAAUUAGGAAUUAGUGUCUAUGCUAUUUUUAUAAAAUCACACAGUACAUUACUGACAAUUUAUUUCAAAGUAUACCAGUGUUUGUUUUUAACACAGACACAGAAGUUAAAAAAAAAACUCAUUCUUUUAAAGAUAUUUAUCAAUAUAUUCUUCACAUUGUUAGAAAUGACAAGCUAUUUAAGGAUUAAAAACCCUACUUUGUAUUUACAGAUAGACUACUUUAACCAUCUGAGAAGUUGUGAUUCCUCCAAUAUUUCUGAUUUUUGAGUAAUUGUUCACUGUUCUACCUCAAGAGUACAUUUCUAUCAAACCAGAUGCCUUACAACUAUGUGGUUUUAAAUUAUUAAUUUUUAUUUCUCUCUAAAGGAUAACAUUAACCAGGCAUAUGUUUAUUCCAAAUUGCAUUGUUUUAAAACUCUCAGUGGCAAUGAAUAAAUAAUGUUUAGACAAAACGUUAUUGUGCUAAAGCUUCUCUUUUAUGUGGAAAAUGGAUUUUUUGAAUUAAUACAUUUCUCAAUGUAUUAGUUGAGGGAGUAAUUAAUUGUAGGGAGUAUUUAGUGACAUCAGGGGAAUUAACAGUUUUCUCAGGAUCAGGACUGUAAGCCAAGUAGCAAAAUUCACCUUCUGGCUGCAUUGCCUUUAUUUAGUUAAAGUUUAUAUAGGUUUGUCAUUGCCAAGAUUGAACAGAGUUACUAAGGAUAGCACUAAGGUAACCUAUUUAUCUUUUCUUUUAUUUCCUCCUUUCCUGUGCUUACAAUGUAGAAAAUUACCAUUGGCUGCAUUUUUUGGAAUUAUUUCCCAAUUUGCCCUUGAGUGGCAGCAGUAAAGCUCUAAAGGAUAAAAAGUCGAUACUCAUACAUUGGACCAGUUGAAGUUGCUCUGCUACCAAUCUGUGUAGUGUGCUGUUCACAGGUUCUAAAAUGGCACGUGGAGAGGCAAAAAUUUUCAGAUCAUGUUAUGCUUAGAUCAGAUCUUUCUUAGGAGCUGCUUAUUCACAAAGAGAUUCAGUUCCUCAAAGGUCCUGAUAGGAGCCUCUGCUAACACGUGGUUUUCUCCUGUUGUACCACAGCAGGGUACAACAUGUUUAUGAUUGGACUGGGGCCAAGAGCCCAAGGAUGGAAACAUCGUACUAAGUCACCACUAACCAGAACAUUAAAUGUUUUUUUCUUAGUGAAUAACUGGACACUGUAAAAUAACUGUUUUGAGAACUACUUUAAUAUAUUUAAUUGAAACCACAUCUUUAUAACUUGAAAUUCUAGUAUACCCUUUGAGAUGAGGUAACAUAAAUAAUAUUAACUGACAUAGACAAAUUUAGAUCUAGCCAAUAUAAAUAGUUUCUGUUGCUGGGUGUUUCAUACUUAUUGGGCUCUUGUUGCUAAUACUUUGAGAUUUUUCAUUUCUAGUUUUAUUAUUUACAUACAAAAAAUUUUGUUAGUAGAUGAUGAAUUCUGGAAUAAAGAGGUUCAAGGUAACUUAGAAUUAUUAGGGGCCACUUUCUCCCCAGCUCAUUUGGAGAUGACAGUGUCGUGGAAGAAGUGAUGGCUUUAGUGUCAGAAAGACUUACUUUGGGCAAGUUGUUGAGCCUUUUGCAGAGGGAGAUUCGUGUAUAAAAGUGGAUGUUAACAUCUCAUUCAUAUAAAUAUUGAAAAAUAAAAUGAAAUGAAGAAUGUGAAACUUCUAUGGUUUUGAACAGCAUAGAAACUCAUUAAAUGGUGGCUGAGAUAAAACAUAAGCCCAGAGAGACUAGGAGAAAACAAAAUAGAAAACAUUUCAGGAGAACAAAACAAGUUUUUAAAAGACCAUGCAAUGUCUGGUAGAUUUCAGGUAAAUGUGUAUGUGUGAGUAAUAUGCAUGCUCACAUGCACACACCCGAAAUGGGCUCUUGUUUCACACUAAAGAAGGCGAAGAAACUAAGCUUUUCCCUAGUUAGGAACAAGCAGUGUUGCUUUGGGAGUCCUGGCUUUCCAUCUCUAAGCAGGAUACUUGAAAGUUUAAAUUUUCUAUCAUUAUUAAAUAUAAAUGUACAGUUGUUAUAGUUUUACUACUAUUCCUUGGAGGAGAAGACAAAUAGGUCAUUUUCCAGAGGUCAAUAGGACUGCUUAUUUCUUGAAUAAAGCUGGGUAAGGCCUCAUUUGACAAAAUCUUAGCUUUAGUUUGUGAGCGUGUUGGUUUUUCUAGAGGGACUUUCAAAGAUUACACAGUAUUUUAUAGUGAUACCAGCUGCUAUAGGGAGUCAUAAGAAAAGGGAAACAUGUGUUUCUAUAGGCCCUCCAAAAACUGCUUUCUAAUACCUCAGAGGUUUAAUCUCUUGUGGAUAGAUGAUAUCAAUGACCUCUGGCUAACAGGUCAUUCUGGCAGUCUCAUGCAUCUUAGAGGAUGACAAUAUAUUAUUUUAAUUAUUUAAACCAAGGAAUAUAUGCUUAUGUACCGGAUGUAUGGCUGAUAGCCCUCAGACUAGUUAAGACGGACUAGGCCUAUUCAGGGUCUUGUGGACUUUGACUACUGCAGUAAGGGAAUAUACCUGUAUUCUUUGGACAGUCUCAAAUGUUGCUUUUGCUUCAUCCCAUGUCCCUUUUCACUCUACCUCUUCUACUUUUAGUAAUUACAUCCACAUCUGUGGCUUCAGCCUUCCUGCUUUUGUAAAGAUUCCCAAGUAUGUAAGUAGCUGAAAUCGAAGCCCCCUUACAUGCAACACUUCCAAAAUCAGGUAUAUUAUCUUCUCUGCCCUGAUUCAACCUCAGUCAAUAAUGUCUCUUCCGUACUUGAUUGUGACUAAUGGCAUCUAGGAAUUAUCAUUUACUUCUUCUUCUUGCUAUUGUGCCCUUCUGUACUUGUCAUCAACUGAUGUGGAUUCUGAUUCCUAAAAAUCACUUCAAUCUUUCCCAGCCUCUUAAUCUCUCUGACUCUGCUUUUGUCCCACCUCACUGUGAAUAUGGCAAUGGACUUUUAUCUCAACUGGGUACUAAAUUUAAUUCGACUCCCAUAUUGCUUUCAAUGUGAAGAUGUCAUGCCCCUGCUCAAACUCCUUUAAUAGCUGCCCCACCAGUAUCUACCCUGAUCUUUCAUGAUUCUUCCUUCCAAUCACACCUAGUUUCUUUCCUCCAAAUGGGUCAUAUUGUUGCAUUCCUCUGUUCCUUUUAACAUACUGCUUAUUUCACCUAAAAUGCCUCCUUUCAAGGGGAAACUCUGUCUCAUCCUUCAAGGUUCAACUAAACAACAUCUCUGCAGUGUAAUAUUCCUCAGCUGCCCCAGGAAGUGUUAAGAAACGUAUCUUCUGGACUACAUCUGUUAAAGCAUUAAUCACACUUAGCAAAGUGUCUCUCAGGAGAUCAAAAGAUCCCUGCUAGCUGGUAUAUUGUUCCACCUGACCAAUGCAGGAAACCAAAAUACAUCACCUCAGAGUGUACCUCUUUGGCAUAUUUUGAGACGGCUAUUCAGAGGGGCUGCAGACACAAGCAUAGCUCUGAAAAAUCUAUCCUUUUGUAAAAGAAAUUUACAUCUAUCUAUAUUAAUAAAGCAAACAAAAGUUGCAGGGAGAGGCUUUUUCUGAGGUCCCUUUUUUCUAAACCUAGGAAAGAUUAAAUCACAGGAAAAGGGAAUUAAAGAAAGGUCUGACACUUUUAAAGGUCUGACAGAGAAAUUAUCACUACAGGUUAUGAUCUAUUCUUUCUGUGGGCUAUUGCCUGAGAGACUUUAUCUGUACAAUGAAACAACAGCCUUUGUUCACAGUGCAUUUCUUCCCCUCAUCCUCCCAUAACCUGCCACCACAGCCCUCAGGACCGCCAAGACUCUAUCCUUCCUGUACAAUAUGAAAACGUCAGCCAUCAGGCUCUUUUUUGAGUCUCAUAUUUUGUGUGACUCUCAUGCUCAUGUGCAUAUAAUAAAUUUGUAUGUGUUUUUACCCUGUUAAUCUGUCUCUUGUCAGUUGGUUUUAUAGACACAAAUUAUUGAAUCUUCAGAAGGAAGAGGGAGGAAAGUUGCCUUUGUCCCUAACAGUUUUGGUGAGCCCAGGCAGGAGAACAAGUCACUCUGCUCAGUUUAGAGGCUGUAAAUGGGACCCUGGGACAACUAACAAAAAAGCCAGCCAAGAAAGGUAAGAAUUUUUACCAAGGUCAGUAUUCCCAGAUCUCUGCCUUUAGAGCCCAGUUGAGUAAGAGUGGCAAGAGUCACUCCUUGUCUCUUUUUCCUUCAAAUUUGGAGUUGCUGGUGAAAACAGGUCUAUAAAUGAAGUCUUUUAUUGAUUUGAAUCACUUUUGUAAUAAAUAAAUUGGUUAUAUGUAGAAAAACUCUCAUCUUAACUAUUGCUAUCUAUGAAAAGAUCAAAUUAAAAAAAAGAAGAGACACACGUAAAUAUAACUGUUACCCUUAAAGACUCCUUUGGCAAUAUUAAAAUAAUAAAAAUCAGUUUUAGAACAAAGUUAAAAUCCUUUUAAAUGAGAAAAGUUUUUGGAUCUCUGGGCUCCAAAGUUUAAAACUUCCCUUCUCUGAAUCCACCUCCAUUUUUUUCAGUACAUUUCUUUAGCUCAGGAGAUAAAUACUUGUAAGAAUUAGUUUAUAAGAAUUUAUUUGAAUUAUUUGUUUUGAAUUUGUAUAACUCUUGACUUUUGGGGUACUCGUUUGAUAAUGAUCCUCUUCCCUCUCAUGAAUGGCUUUUGUUUUCCUGUUUGUCUUACCAACUGUUGUCUUUUUUAAACAUUUUGUCUACUGAGGGCACACAGGUUAUUAGGCCCUCAUGUAUGGGUGGCCUACCAAAAGGUUGAGAGACCCACAAAUAUGGCUGGACAGAAAUAUGGGUUGUACCCCAUUUUUGGCAAGCAAAGCUUUUCUUUCUUUUUGACUGCCUUUCUUUUGGGAGUGGCUUUGGAUUUUCAGCAGCCUGUAUCUUUUUGCUCUAACUUUAGACACUUGGUUAAAGCCAUUAAAAGGCUUAUUAAUUUAGGUCAUGAGAAUUAUUUUUGCUGUUGAGUUUCUUGUAGAUAUACCUUUGUUUUAGGGCUGUGGUUCAUACUCAGAGCAUAAUAAGAAUUUCUUUGCCUUCUCUCCUAAGCUAAAAUGGAACUAUAUACUCAGGGAAAAAAAGCUAUUUAAAAAUUUAAAACAAAUGAAAAAUCUUAAAGGUCUUUUCUAUUAAUAUUGAUAAAGGGUUUUGACCAUUGUAAACAGGUAGUGUUAACUUGGUUAAUACUUCAUAAAUUGGUGAGUUUUAUAUUAUUGUAUCUGUCUAAAGUUUUACAAUAAAAACUAUAAUAUUUUUGUUUGUGUCCUAUCUGUAUGUUUGUAUAUGUUUAUACAUGUGUGCAUGUAUGGUGCAAGUUGUAUCUACAUGGGAUAAAAUUUCUUGGAAGAAUUUCAAAUUGGCUUAAAGAAAAAUUUGUUCUUAUGAAUUAAAUACUUUUAAAACUGCUAGAAAUAUGGUAACAAACUCAAAGGCUUUUCAAGUUCAUGUGACUUGGGUAAAUCUUUCACAAAUAGGACUAGCUUAAUGCUGUUGGUUUUAAAGUAAUUAAAUAGAUGUAAGUGAGAUAAAACUUUAUAAAUUUAAUUUUUAACAAUAAUUAUGAUUUAUAAUAUAUACUUUCAAAGGUUUCUCAAAUCUUUCAGGUAACUACACCCUUAAAGUAUUGCUAAACUAAAUUAGAUAAUGAAUAUUCUUUAAAUAAUUAGAUCAUUUCCAAAUAAGAUAUAAUACUGGAACAUUAAUUGUUAAUCAUACAUUUUAGCUUAUUUACUUUUAACUUCUUGUUACAAGAGAACUAAAUAUAUUUGGUUUGGCUGGUAAAUAUGUCCUGAUCCACAUUGUAAAAUUACUUUAUGAGAAAGCUUUUGUUUCUAGAAAUUAUGAAAUCUAUUGAUAACAUGUUGGUACAAUGCCAGUUCAAGAUUGUUUACUUCCUAGAUUUUCACUGGAAAAUAAGAUUACUAAGAAUUGAAAUUCUAAUUAAUAUAUGUAAUUAAAACUACUAGAAAUAAGAUAAAAAAUUCUGUAUGUAAGUGUAGAAGGAAACUAGGAUGUGUUUUUGGUGAGGAAAGUUAUAAGGAAGGCAUAAGGAUUUUUUGUUGUUGAAGAAAAAUAAUUAUUCUAGUUUAAAGGUUGUUUCAGAAUGAAGAAAUGAUACAUAAAAAGCUGAAUGACAGUUCAAGAGAGUUGGGUAAAGAGAGUGAGAGAAAAUAUUGUAAGGUUAAACUGACUAAAGUUGAAUAAAAUUAUUAUAAAGGUUUCAGAAAUGAGCUUUAAUAGAAAAAGUGCACUGGUAAAAAACUAAACUUUGGUCUUCUCUUUUAAAAACAAGAGUAUUGAUAGAUUUUGCAUUUUAUCAAAAUAAUUUCCUAUGCUUUAUACUGUCUUUAUUAGGUCUUUGAUUACUUAGAAAAACUGGGUUAAAGAAUUAAACUGUUUCUAUAAUUAUGUAACUUCCUGCAUUUUAUUUUGAAGUCUUUAAAUUGCCAUUCUGGUUAAAUGAAUUUAACAGUAACCUGUGAUCUUAUUUUUGAUCGAAUGCUUCGAACCUUUAUUUUUUAACAACCUUCUCCAAAUCAAAAUUAAGUCUUUUUGACCUCAGACUAACUUUUGGGCAUUCCAGAAGGACCCCUAGCAGUACAAAAGAGAGAUAUUAAACAAGUUAGGCCUAUUUAAUACGCUAAGUUAUAUGGGAAGCACUCCAAAUAGCAAGUGAUGUUUAACCUUCUUUGAGUUACAAUUUUAUACAUGUGUUAUUCACAUGUAUGUUUAACCUUCUUUGAGUUAUAAUUUUAUAGAUAUGUUAUUCACAUGUAUUCCAAAAUUGUAUGAAAUUUCUAGAAAUUUAUAUCCUAGUGUACAUUAUCAGUAAUAAUUAUGGUUAUUAUGUUAAAGCGUUGUGUGCCACAACACAUUUCCUUGUCAAUGACUUGUUAUGAAUUCUCAUUAGGUUUUUAACCAUGGCUAUUGUAAGUUUUUGUCAUUGACAGACAGUGGUUUUGCUUCUUCUCUAAAAGCAUCUUGCAGUCAGUUAUAGCCCCAAAUUGCUUUUCUUCAAUGAAAUUUAUAGAAAAGACUCUCACAAGUACCAUUGAAUAUAGUUUUCUGAUGAUUUUGAGAUCGUAGUAUUUGACUGGGUAAGAAUUCCGAACUUCAGUGAAAAAACUGAACUCAAAAAACUACUAACCCAACAUCAAGCAGAAUAAGAAUUAUUACAUGGGACUAAAGCAAUGAAAGAUUAUGAUUUUAUGACUUUUUUGUUUGGCACAUGGCUUAUUCUUUCAUGUUUCAUUUUCCACAUUAAUUUUUUUUUUCUUUCAGCUAUCUACAGUUUACGGGAAUAUGGGAAGGUGUACUUUUGUGUGCAGAAUUGAAAUUUUUUUUUCUCCCUACCUGAUCCCUCCAGAGUUUGGAGACUAUUUGUGAGUAUUCUUAUUUCAAUAACAAUAUAGUUAUUUGCUUACAUUUAAGAAGAAUCUAUUCUCUUUCUAAUAGGACACAAUUGGAAACAUUGGCCAUAUUACCAAGGCUUUGCCUGACAUGUCCUAUUCUGAGAUAUGACCAGAUUGCUCUAAGGAAUUAAAGUUGACUUUAUAAAGCCAAUUAAAACCCCUUGGAAAAUCUAUCUUGAUAUCUUGGAUAAAUAAUUAACAUGGUUGAUUUACAGGUGAGAAAAAAUGUCACUUCCUGAGAGGCCCUGGAACCUGAAUAUAUUUUUGGGAACCUUGAGAAGAGAAGUAUUCACUCAAGUUUAAAGGUAUUACAGGCACAAUUUGAGGGUGACUCCUCCUUGGAUUGGCUUCCCAGCCUCAAGAGGCUUUCAAAAGUUUAAUCUGAGAUUCCUUGUGAAAAGUUCCAGCAAAGCAAAAUUGAAAAUGAGCUUAUAUGAUUAAUCAUCAUUUUGCUGUACUUCUGUAAAUUAUUAGGCAAAGUAUAACAAGCCUAAAACUUAUUUUGCAAACAAAUUAGUUUUAUUGUGAUUAACUUUGGUAAAAAGGGGGGAACUCGAGAGAGAAAAAUUAUGACUUAAAAGAAAACUACAGUGUAUCUGUUAUUAGAUUCUAGCUCUGUUCAUUUUUUUGAGAUUUUAUUAUUUACCUACAAUUUAGACUGGAUUCUGAAAUUGUUAGUUUCCUCUAAUGUCUGACUGCAACUCUCCAAAAUAACAUUUUCACUUUUUUCUCCAAUUUUUUUCUGACUUGGAAUCACUGAAAUUAAAUGUGCCUUUUUCUUGAAGCCCUGAAAGCUGAAGCUGGUUGACUCCAGAUAAAUCACAAUAACAACUUAAAAUCUGUCAGAUUGUCACUGUCUAUCCACACUUCAACUGAAGAUGUUUUGAGGCCAAAUCUAGAAAUCUUUUCAACUGCUAGACUCAGAACUAGUUUAUAUGCUGCUUCAAUUAUUAACUUUUGUCUUUCUUUUGUUUCUUUAGAGAAGCCUCAUAUUAAAAACUUGUUUGCUUACACCAUGUAGAGACUUAACUGUGGGAACCCUGCAACACCACUUCCUAAAAUGAGACAUUUUUCUACUUAUUCCAAUAUAUGUUUUUCUUCCCUUUGCUAAUGUCUUAUCUCAAAAUGUCUAAAGCAAAUUUUCCACAGUUAUCAAUCCUAUUUUAAUAUGUAAAACUUUCUGAAAAUAAAUUUCAAAGAGGGGACUGUGGGAAACCAAAAUAUGCCAUCCAAAGCGUGCCUCUUUGGCAUAUUUUGAGAUGGCUAUUCAGAGGGUCUGCAGACACAAAGCAUGGCUCUGAAAAUUUAUCCUUUUGUAAAAUAAAUUUACAUGUAUAUAUUAAUAAAGCAAACAAGGGAUGCAGGCAGACGGUUUCUCUGAGGUCCUUUUAUUUGAAUCUAGGAAAGAUUAACUCACAGGAAAAGAAGACUAAAGACAGGUUUGACACUUUUAAAGGUCUGACAGAGAAACUAUUACCACAGGUUACCAUCUACUCUUUUUGAGGGCUAUUACCUGAUAGACCUUCUCUGCACAAUGAAACAACAGCCUUUGUUCACAGUGCAUUCUUCCCCUUACCCUUCCAUAACCUGUCACCACAGCCUCCAGGAGCUUCAGGCCUCUUUUUCUUUCUGUAUCAUAUAAAAACCUUAGGCCCUUCUUUGAGUCCUGUAUUUUGUGUAGCUCCCUGUGCACGUGCAUGUAAUAAAUUUGUAUGCUUUUUCCUGUGAAUCUGUCUGUUUGGUUUAUAGGCUCAAAUUAUCUAACCUUCAGAAGGGGUAAGAAAAAUUCCCUUCACUCCUAAACCAACUUAUUAUCUAGAAAAUUAUGAUGUACAUGAACCCCAGCACUGCUUAUGGGUCUCUGAUGGGGCGAAUUCUUCAGGAAUGAGGGAGUAUUGGCUGGAUGGGCAAAACAGGAAAGUGUGAGAGGUGUUUUGAGAUACCAUAAUAAUUGAGGGAAGAUACGAAAGAGCAAGAAACCAAAUGGAGGCAGAUAUAUUGGAGUGAUGUAGUUUUGGCUGUUAAGUGGGACUGGAGAAAAAAGUUUGCUAUCCUACACCUUCAACACCUUCAGUUUGAUUUAUUGUAUCAAAAUUUGAACAGGCUGUACCAACUUACAAUGAGAUCUAUUCUCCACAUCUUAAAAACUUUUUAAUGGGAUAGUUUUACUACAAUAAAAAUAAAUUGUGUUUUCAAGUAGAAAAGAUCAUUUGUUCUAUCUUCAAAACAUAUUACUGACUAAAAGCAAGCAGGAGGUAUAGUAAAUAAGCUCUUAUUGAAAAGACAAGUCUCAGGAAAAAGUAGACAUAGUUUUAGGCUAUUUUUCCAUCUCACUAGGGUGUUAGCCCACACAAAACAAGCUACAGAGAUUAUUUUCACCCUCACGUUGUUACAUAGUUGUUGUUGGAAUAAUCACAUGGGGAGCAAUCAAUGCCACAAAAAUGUUUCAAUACAGAUGUGUUUUUCCUCUGAGUUUUGAGUGAAUUAGGGUACAGAUAAAUGAACCUGCACAGGGGAGGAGAAACUACUACAGUGUAUUUUCUUCAAAUAGACCAGGGUUCAAUUUGAUUUGGAGUUUAGCAAAUUAAACGCAAGAGAUAAAGAAACAUUGAGUGUUUGCUCUCAAUUCUGGUAUGAGACAAAAUGAGGUAGUAGCAGGAUACUGAAAAUUAUUUUUGGGAUAUGUGAGGUGAGUGUUACCCCUUGUUAUCAUAUUAAGACAGAUAUAGGGCCUUGGAUCUGGGGUCUCAGCAAACUUGAAUCCUUUGCAUAAGGGAAUAGUUUGAAUUUGAACCAAUGGAGCCUGUUAUUUCAAUUUGUGUCCUUGUUUGGGCACAAGCCUUUUUUUUUUUCUUUUCUUUUUUUUUUUUUCAGUUGACUUCCACAAGUGAUUACUGAGUGGCAAGCAUGUACCAGGUACCAUGCUAGGCAGAGGCAGUAAAAUGAUGAAUAAAACACAGCAGAAUUUACAGUUUGGUGGGAUAGCAAAACACAGAAAUAGAUAACUCAGUAUAAUGUGGUGAAUGCUAAGAGACUUAGCUCAAAUCAGCUUGUUUUGAAAAUUUUAACUGUUGCCAAGCUACUAGUAAAUGAGUUCAAAUUGUCCACUUUAGCCUUCUAAACCCUGAUUGUUUCUGUGCAGUUUUAAUUCUCAUUACUAUACUGUGUGAUCUUUCUGAUUCAGAUCCAAACAGAUUUCUCUUUUAUGAGCCUUAUUGUCUCCCAUUUCUCACCUUGGAUCUUGAAGCCAUAGUAACAUCUUUCUCACAUUCUUUUCUCUUUUAUCUCUAUCCAUCUUUCCUAACCCAGGUUAAUUCCUUGGUCUUUUGCAAUACCAUAUUAUAUUCACUGAUUUAUUAUUAACAUGUCUAAAAUGGAAAUUUUCAUUCUUGAAGCCAGUUUUCUUCCUCAUAAAUCUUCUCCCAUCUCAAGAAAUGGAAGCUUCUAUUUUUCUGCUUAGGCCAAAAUUCUGGAACCUCUCUUUGUUGAAUGCCACAUAUCUACUCCAUUAGUGAAUUCUGCCUAGUAAACCUCCAAAAUAUAUCCAGAUUUUGACCACUUCUCUCUGCCCCCUCACACACACACACAUACACACACACACACACACACACACACACACACACACACACAGGCCCAAAGCCACUGUGAUCUGAAUAACCUUCUGAUUCUUCUGUUCUCUCCAUGUUUGCGCUCCUCCAAUCUAUUCAGAGUGCAUAAGUAAUUCUUUUAAAACCUAAGUUAGAUCAGGUUCCUUCUUGGCUUAAAAUUUUGAAGUCUCACCAUGGCUUAUAAAUCCCUCUGUAAUCUGUGCCUUUCCCUCCUCCAGCAAGUCUUUCAACUUCGUUUCUUUUUAUUUACUCCCUUCCUCAGCCACUCCGCUCUGGCCACACGGUUUAAACUGCAUGAAAGCCAGCCUUUGCUCUGCUGACGUUCAGUGCCUAAAACAGUGCGUGGCAUGUCUCUACUAAUUAUUAUUACUAGUAUCGUUUUGUAUGCCUGUUUCCUGUUAACCUGUCUAUUGUCAGUUUGUUUUACAGACUCAAAUUAUUGAACCUUCCGAAGGGGGUAAGGAAGAUUCCCUUCACCCCUAAACCAACUUCUUGUUAUCUAGAAAAUUACUAGUAAUAAUAACUGGCUAGUAACUAGCCAGUUACUAAUAAUAACUAAUUAAUAACCAGUAGCAGUUACUAGUAAUAAUAACUGGCUUAUAUAACCCUGAUUUUGAGACCAAUGCUAGUCUAUGUUAAUAACAUAUUAAUCUCAUUUUUUCCUUACCAUAAUCAUAGGAGAGAGGCCUGGUUAUUAUGCUAAUUUUACAAAUAAAGAAUUAAGGCACAGAGAGGCAGUAGGCACUCAAUAAAUAUUGGUUGUGUUAUCCCAUUCAACUAAUAGUCACUGAGUGUACCCUAAGGGCCAGUUCUCCAACUUGAAAACUCAGAGGAAUAUCAGUUUGUGUAUCUCAGGGAGUUUCUGUAAGAGGGAGGAAAAAAUGAACAGUUGAAAGCAGGAAAGUGUUAAAUAUAAAGCCCCAUGCAAAUUGUUCAGAUGCCCUAUUUCAAUUACUUUCACUUGGAAUAUUUUGGUUAACAAAUUACUAUACCUGAGCUUCUAUCAUGGAUUGUCACUAUUUUACUCCUUUUCAUCCAGCUGAGACAUCACUUUCUUCAGAAAGUGUUCCUUCAACUCCCAGAAUGAGUUAAUGCCAUUCUCUUCUGUUAUCCCUCUGCCUGGUGUAUGUUACUCACCACUGGGCUUGAUGCACCUUACUCAUUCUUUGCCUGCAAAGCUUCCCCUCCACCAGACUAGGAACUCUCUGAGGACAGGAACUAGUCCUAUUCAUCACUCAAUUACAAGUCAGACAUACAGGAGGUGCCAAAUACAUGCUUGUUAGAUGAAUAGAUGAGACAGCAACACAAAUUGUGACUAACAACUUAAAGAAAUAUAAUAUUAACAUAAAUGAGCAUUAAACUGCACAUUCAAGAAGAGAAAGUUCAUUUGGUUUCCUGAGAUAGAAUUCAAAUAAAUGUCCUAUUUAGAUUAAUUACCAUAAGUUAACGAGUUCCAUAAGAGACUUGUGAUAACUCUCCUUCUGCUUUUUUAAUAGCUGUCCCAUAAACCUGACACUGAAGUUCCAUUUGCAAUGAAAGUCACAGAAUAACCAUGACUAUUACAAAUUUUGGAGAUGGAUUAACUGCUCUGCAAACAUAAUGCCAGCAACUUAAUUCAAAACAAAGACAUAUUUUAGAAUCAUAAAGCUAGAAAAGGCCCGAAUUGUGUACUAACACAGCUGUGAAGGUAACGCUGCAGACUCGGUUUCAGUUUUUCAUUUGUUUCUGACUGUUGUAACUCUGGUUUUUUAUACUUUAGUUCAAUCCUAUCAGGCUAUUUCAAGCUUGUCAGAAUAUAAAGUCAAAAGAGUAUUACAAUGGUGAUUGGAAAGAACAUAAGAUUAAUUUGAAGUAGAAAAAAGGCAUUUUAUAAAUGAAUGUGAAAUGCCUGGAGGCCUACCAAGAAUACCCGGCCAUGCAUUAGUUUUUCAGCUUAGAUAUGCUGCACACAGCACGCAACAGCCUUGGGAGAAAACCCCACAUCACAUGUCAUUGGAAGCUGCUCAGCCAGGCACACAGAAAGGCACCUUGCACCAAUGAUAUUUGACAACCCCGGCAGUGAUUUUUCUGCUUCAGUGGCUAACUUGUGCAAAGUCACGGCAAGCCAACACACAAAUAGUUCACAAAGAACUAAGCUGUUAGGAUCAUCUUUACAAGGCAGUAACCAUGAUGCUUCUUUUAAUGAACAUUUCACAUCCUGCGAAGCCAGGAAUGAUUCAACCACUAAAAUGUCCAGAAAAGGGAAUACUAAACUUCUGGGGAUGAAAGAAAGUUUCUAACAAAAAUGCUAUUAGUUCAAUAUUCAUUUUAAUCUGCAGAAAAUAUUUUUCGUCACCGUGUUCUGAGAUUGGUACUUCAUUCCUCAGUAUCUUUUAAUCUAAACUAAUCACAUUUUAUAUUUCUAGUGCCUGAUAGAGAGUAGAUAUCUUGACAGGAAAGUAGGAAAAAUGACGGAGGCUAAAAAAUUAGUCACAGGCUCACACACACACAUAUACCUAUACACAGCUCCCUUGUGCCAGACAAGUGUUAGGUUUUUCUCAUGUAUUUGAUCACAUUUAUAUAACAAUGAUGAUGAUGAUGAUGGUGAUGGUAAAUUGAUCACAGAUCACUUUAUUGAUUUCUUCUUUAUGUUCUAGAUUCUUUUCUAAGUGCUUCACAUGAAUUAUCUUAAUUAAUAUUCACAAUAAUCCUGUAAGGUUAGUAAACUGCUUGUAGAGUAGUUAAGUAAUUUAGUCAAUAUUCAGACUGACUAGUAACUGGAAGAUCUGGGAUUCAAACCUGGUGAUCAUAUUAUGGGACCCUCAAUUUUCUCCUUAAUUAAUUUAAUCUUAGAGUUCAUCUUGUCCACUAAUUUUUACAAAGAUUUCUCUGAGUUGUUCCAAAGUGCUUCUUGAAAUGUCUCUGAGGAUUUGGGGAGAGUACUCAAAGUCCCAUCUCAGGCUCAGGUUUACAUAUUUAACAUUUGCUUAAAAUUUCAAGUGAAUAAAGGACUGUAGGAGUCAAAACAGACCUGAUAACUGCUGUAUUGUUCUUGUUCAAUGUUUUCAUUUACAUAGAUGAGGAAACUGGAGCCUGGAGAGGUGAAGCUCAGAGUCCCAGGUGUUAUGGUCCUACUCCUGGUUACUGGCAGUUCUCUAAUUAGGACCCAAUUCCCUAGACUUUGGUUACAUCUUUCUAUGCCAUUGUGAGCCCAAAGAAAGGUACACAUCACUGACAGAACAUGGUCAUAACACUUCAGUGGCCUCCACUGUGAGCACUGGAGGAGGUGUCUGCCCUGGGACAUGGCCAGUUGCAUUUUCCACCACAUAUAAACUUCCUGGAUGACUUAAAAACCAGAAGAGACGGACUAAGAUUUUCAAGCAUAAGAGUCAUUUUUGUAUAGGCUGAGCAUCACUAACACAAAAAUCCAAAAUCUGAAAUGCUUCAAAACUUGAAACUGUUUGAGCACAGACAUGACGCCACAAGUGGAAAAUUCCACCUCUGCCACAUUAAUUUUUCACUGUAGUAAUGGUAUGUCAUAUUUCUUACUGCUAAUACUUAUGUGUGAGUAACUGCAAGAAAAUGAUUGCUUAUCAUUAGCAUAUAAAUUCAGAGUCAGGAAUGAUGGUGAUGCCAAACAACUACAGGUUGUCCACAUAGGUGGCUGAGACAGUGACACCUCUGCUUUCUGAUAGUUCAACAUACACAAACUUUGCUUCAUACAAAAAUUUUAAAAAAUAUUGUAUAAAAUUAUCUUCAGGUCAUGUGUAUAAGUACUCUAUGAAAUAUAAAUGAAUCUUGUGUUUAGAUUUGGGUCCCAAACCCAAGAUAUCCCUUUAUGUAUAUCAAAUAUUCCAAAGUUUGAAAAAAAUCAAAAAAUUCAAAACACUUCUGGUCCCAAGCAUUUUGGCUACAGGAUACUCAACCUGUAUUAUUUUCUUUAUACAUCUGAUUAACUACUUUAUCUAUAUCAAAUUCUAUAAUACACAUCAAAAAAAUUAAAUCAUAAGCUUAAGGUUAAACAAUUUUGUUCUUUUUAAAAUUUUACUUGUAGUAUAUAAUUGAUAUAUUACACUGGUAUCAAAGUUAUAGAUUGGCCAAUUGUACAGGCCUUCCUCUGAACCUUAGAAAACAUCUACUAGUAUUCAUAAAGAGCAUGUAGUGUAGAAUUAUGGUUCUCAAAUGUUUUUAAGCUGUCAUAUCCUCUGCAAGUCCAGUGUGAAUAUCACUAAAAGUGAAAGAGUGCAGCAGUCAGAUAUGGACUUUAAUCUGGACCUCAGAUUUAGGCAAAGCACUGAGCCUCUUGGAGUCUCGGUCUCCUUACAUAGAAUGAUGGAGUCACCACUGCAUGGUUAUUUGGAGGGUAUCAGGUUAAUUAUGUAAGGUAGUUGGAGACUAGUGUAUGUUCAACUAAUUCUCACUAUUAAAGUACCAUUUACCCUCAUAAUAUCUUUAUGCUAAUUAUGUUUUUAUUCCUGAAAUUUUAAUAAUAUCUAGAUGAAUGAAUAAACUAUGUGUCCAUCAACAUUUAUGGAAUAUUUAUUCUAGGCAUAGUGACAAUUGUUUUAUAUAGGCAAUAUUAGUACAUUGCAUCACAGUACUGUGAAGUAGAUUCCACUUUAUUAAUGAAAAUAAUGAAUCUUUAAAAGGAGAAAUAACUCUUUUAAAAAAUUCACAUCUGGUAAAUAGUUACAUCUGAACUGCUCCACACCUGAUCUCAAAGCACACCAACAGCUACUCUAUACAUAUGCACUUCUGUGACAUAGGACACCCUCAACCUGCCUCUCUCCUUGACAAACUGCUGUUUUAGUUCUUGUUAGGAGAUAUGCUCAUUUGUGAAUCUUCCAUUGUGAUUUUGAUUUUAUGAAAUACAAAAAUAAUAUUACAAAGGAUGUCCACUUCCAUGAACACAAAGAUGUUCGUGUUGACAUCUUUGCAUCAGUGUUCUCUCUCUCCAAGAAUCAAAUAUUAGAUAUCAGCUAAAGCUUCUUCUAUUAUUUUGCCCUCCCUUCCUUCUCAAAUGCAAUCAUUUUGCUGAAGUUGGUGUAUAUUACAUCUCCACAUAAUUUUAUAUUUCAUAAAAUAUGGAUAUCUAUAUAAACAAUAUAUGUAAUGCUAUUUUCUAGACUUAAAGAUUGUAUAUAAAUGCAUUUUUUACAUUAAUAUACGUUUUACAACUUUAAAUACUUUAAUACUCUUAUUUUUAGCAAUUUGCUUUUUAAAAAUCAUAUGGCUAGUAUAGUAUUUUUCAGCCAAUACUAUUUAUCUGUUUUCUUACUAAAAAUAAUUAUGUUGUUGCUAUGUUUCACCUUUACAAAGGGAGCUGACCUGAGCAUCCUGGCCCAUAACUCCUUAUGGAAAUGUGUGGGAGCUACUCUAGGGGAUUCAUCUACUAAAACUGCUGAGUCAUAGCUCAUAAGCCUGUUCAAAUUCACCAGGUGUUUUGAAGAUACUCUCCUUUGCAGUGGUACUAAUUUAUACUUCAGUCAGUAAUGUAUAUAAGUCUUAUCUUUUCACAUCUUCACUAGUACCUUGGUUUUUAAAAAUUAAUUAAUUUCAAUCAACCUCCUUUAUUAAUAUUUCAGAAGUUGCUAGUGAGCUUUAACGUUUGAUAUAUUUAUUGACAUUAUAAUUUUUUCCUCAAUGAAAUAUCUGAUGUUAUCUUUUACCUAUUUUUCUUCUGGAUUAUUUAUUUGUUUUUUAAAUAUAUUUUCUUAGUCUUGACUUGUUCUUUCAUGUUUUUUACCUUUUUUUUCAUUUGUGUCUGUUUGUUUCUUUUAAUCCUCUUGGAGUUAUCUUUGACAAUCAUUUCUUUUAUUGCUUAUUUUAUUUUUGUUUUUUCAUUAAAAAAUUUUUCCUUUACCUGGAAGCUACUCAAAGCCUGAGAAGACGUGUUCACCUGGCAAGGACCAUUCUCACAGGCAGGUUUAGCUCAUAUACCCCUCAGGCCAGGCUUUUCUCAGAAUCUAACACAUGCACUGGGGCCUCACCUUGGACCUCCCCUAACUGGUCCCUGCCUCUUCCUUGGCUCAUGAAGUAAAAAUUCUUGCCUUAGCUCUUUCUUUCAAUAGUUCAGCAGGGCAGGAGGCCUUAGCAGCUGAUUGGCUCAGAUACAGCAAGCAGCAAGGGUUCAGGGAUAUAUUCAAGCCAUCCUCUUCCCAUAAUUCUCUGAUAGCUAUUUUCCAUCACUGCUCAACUUAUUUUCUUCGUAACACAUAUUAUAAGGUAUAUGUUUAUGUAUAUAUUAUUUUCUUAUUCAUUUAUUGUCUGACUUCUGCUCUGUUGUACCAGUUUCCUGAGGAUAGGGAUCAUGUCUGUUCAGAGCUAACAUACUUGUGCUUAGGGUACUUCCUGGGAUAUAGUAGGUGCACAAAAAUUUAUGGUAAAUGAACUAAUAAAUGAAUGAUUAGAUUUUCUUAUUCUCCCUGGAAAGUUGCUAUCCUGUGAUGUUUAUUGAAGCUACUUCUUGCAGACUGUUGAGUGGGAGAUGGGUCUCUAAGCCUUUGUGGAAACAUACAGAAAAGAAGACAAAGGACACCAACCCACAAACAUUUUUAAAAAUAAUAAAAGAUUAAAAAAUGACAAAACUCUGAAAAAAGGCUAUAUAACUUCCUCUCUAAGAAAGCAUCUAUAAAAGGUCAAAAUUCCUUCCAAAAUCUGUGUUGAAUUCACACAAGCCUUUCAAUAGAUGGGCAUUUGAGGUCCAGCUUACUACAUUAUUCAUCUUGGCCACAAUAGUUUCAGUAGGAAAAAGUUUUAAUGUCAAUGUAUGUACUACUUCUAUUUUGUAGAAAAAUAAUUUUCUAUUUUUUCUAUAUAUUUUUGUAUUUAUUUCAGGUUUGAAAAUAAGAGGCUUAUUGUGACAAAUACUCCUUUACAGUGAGAUGAAUUCAAUGGUAAAGCAGUCACUUGUGCUCUUAGAAGCUCCUGGGGAAAGCAGAGCAGAAGUACUUGAAUUGACAGAGAAUAUGCUCCAUCAGAGAAACAAAUUGUUAAUUUUAAAUUUGAUAGGAAGAAGAAACUGUGGAAUACAGAGAGAAAUGAGGACGAAUGACUAGAUACAGAAUAGGCCUCACAUGUCACUUGUAGAAAAAGUGAACUUGGGCUGGGCACCGUGGCUCACACCCGUAAGCCCAGCACUUUGGGAGGCCAAGGUGGGCUGAUUGCCUGAGAGCAGGAGUUUGAGACUAGACUGGCCAACAUGAUGAAACCCGUCUCCACUAAAAAAUAAAAAAAUUAGCUGGGUAUGGUGGCAGGUGCAUAUAACCCCAGCUACUUGGGAGGCUGAGGCAGGAGAAUCAGAUUAACCAGGAGACAGAGGUUGUAGUGAGCCAAGAUCAUGCCACUGCACUCCAGCCUGGGUGAUAGAGUGAGAUUCUGUCAAAAAAAAAAAAAAAAGUGAAUUUGUGUGACAUAACAGUGUCUCAGAUUCCACUGUGGAGGUAAAAAUGUAGUAAUUUGCUUUUUUCUUUUCUUUAUAGAUUUUAUACAUGAGCGUUAAAACGUUCAUAGGUAUAUGGCCUACUCUGGAAGGGGAGAAGACACAAGGGGGCUGAGUAGUAAGCAGCAGGUUAUGUGUGCAAGGUGCACACACACGUACACAUGCAUAUGCACAGGCACACAAUAGCUUUUGAUAUAACAUAUAGCUCUUCCAAGAUCUCUGUCUUUUUAAAAUCUUUUCAGUCCCAAACUUUUAUCAGUUCCUUUACAGACCCAUUCCCACCACCCUCAGCCUCUGCACUGACCUAACAUAUAGCUCUAUACCAUCUGAAGAGUUUUACAGCAUGACCUAAAUCCCCCAUCUAGUCACAAUAGUAUCCUCUUUAAUCUGCUUUUAUCAUAAACCCAUGUCUUGGCUGUAGACACUCUCCAAUCUCACAUCCAUUACAGGAUUCCUAAAUUCCUUGUCCCAUCUGUCAUCUUAAACUGUUUUGACGAAGUAUUGAAAGUGGAAGGUACUAACCUAGUUAGUCUACAGCAUCCUUGUGGCUGCUAGGCAGCCUCUCGGGAGCUGUUAUAUCCAAGUAGAUGGCUUGUGGACUUGGUAAGAUCUGAAUGCCUUUAAGAUAAUAGAGUCUAAAAAUUGUCUGGUGUAAUUGCUGCUAAUUUAUAUUGGAGCCAGUACAUUCUCAUCAAUUUUUGCUUGUGAUAUUUAGCCUAUAAAACCUAUAUAUUCAACCCCACCAUCUUUUUGUGAUUUUUUUUUGUCUUAAAGAUUGAAGAAAAUGUAUUUAUAUGUAUAUCCACCAAAAUCCAUUGUGAUUCCUUUCAGAUUCAGAUUUAGGGACAAUAAUUUUAGUGUAGUGAAUGGCUUUUCUUAUAUUUUAUAGCAGAACUUUCUCUAACUCUCCUUGGACCUGAAGGUUAAUUAAUAAUCAUUAAAUCUGUUUUGCCUGGUGCCAAAUCAUUUAGAUAAAAAAUGAAAUGCUCAGUUAAUCAUAUUGAGGUUCGUGGUUGUCAAAUAUCCAGAUGUCCCAAAUAUGCAGAUGUCUGAUAUAAUAUAAAAAGAAAUAAGUAAUUUGCAUAAUUCUUUCUUUCUUGUCCAAAUACACAGAUUUUAUAUCAUUGGAUAAAUGUCUAUAUACUAAAUCCUCAGGCUGUUUUCCUAUAGGACCAAUAAGUUAAUAUUAAACAUAAAAUGAGGAUUAGUCAAAUGCUUAAUCUCAUUGAAAGAGCAGAAAGUUUGCUAUUGAAGAAGUGAAGGUUUUACUUUGGUAACAAUGACUCACUGGCGAAUAAUAGAAAAUAUUGUACUUUGAAUUUAAGAUUCUCCUUAAAUUAAUUAAGAUUGAAUUAAGAUUAAAUUCAAUCUUAAAUUUGAAUUUAAGAUUGUUAUCCAUAACAAUCAGCAGCUAUGUAAAAGUACUGAUCUUAUUUUUAAAGUAUUAUCCUUGAGUCAGCACAAAGGACAGAUGGCCCAUUUUUCAUGUUUAUGGAUCUAUUCAAUGUUAACAGCCACUACAACUUUAAGAUCUAAAAUCUGUUUUAUCACUUCAGUGUAUUUUAUUUUGGUCAAUGUCAACUGCAAAUAGUUCUUUGAAAUUAUUGUGGCCUUUCAAAUGAAUAAAAUUAUUUAUUUAUAUGUUCAUAACAUAACGUGCAUGUUUCAAAGGUUCUGUGGUUGAUAUAGAACAUUGCUACAAUGAAAGAAAAAAUAAAGGAAUUCAAAUAUCUGAAAAUGUCAUUUCUACUAUCAUACUUUGAUACAUUAAUUUUAUUUGAUAUAUCUAUGUAUAAAAUAUCUAGGUAAUUAAUUUAAAUAACAACAUAUAUAUCAUAAUUUAAAUGAGAUGAUAAUCUGUAUUAGUGGGGAUUUAAAUUUAGCUAGAUAAAAUUUCCUAUUUUACAUUCUACAAAAAUAAUCUCACAAAUACAUGUCAAUCUUCUUAUAAAGUUCCAAGGCUUUUACAUCUUGGAUUCAGGGGCUUUUGAUAUACCUAAUGCUUCAUAUAGCAUAGGAACCAUUUAAAUCACUCAGUGUAUUUUUAAUAUGGAUUAUACAUCAAAGUAAAAUUAUUACUGUAUUAAUCUCUGUGUAGGGAGAGGUGAAAGUCAGUUGAAAUCGUUCUCAUGUUCUUGCCAACUUGUGACAAUAGUUUUGCCAACUUGUGACAAUAGUUUAUUAGACUUAUAUUUUACCAUGAUUGCAAGUUAAAUAUUUUCUAUUCAUUCUUUAGUUAUAGGGUAUUCCAAACAUCACAAGCGCUAAACAUACUGGGGAUUCAGGGUUGUAGCCUAAAUUAGUCCCCUGUCAGAACAGAAUUUUUAGGUGGAUCUCAUGCAUUCUUUUAAAUUAAUGUGCCUUUUAAAUUCUUCCUCUUAAUAUAGCUGAAUAUAUUUAUCACUUACCAUUGAGUACAAUGGACUCUCCAUGAAGUCACACCAUACAUCAUAAGUAUCCAUUUGCAUCCAGGGGCAAACAGUAUGUAUAAAACCUUCUUGAAACUCUAAACCAGGAAAUAACGCUCCCGUUUCUUUCUGUGUGUGUGUAUACACAAACUGAUGUAUUCUUCUCUUAAAAGGCAGUUUUUUCAUAUGGACACAUGGAGGGAACAACACACACUGGGGCCUUUUGGGGGUGGGUAGGUUGAGGGAGGGAGAGCAUCAGGAAGAAUAGCUAAUGGAGGCCAGGCAUAAUACCUAGGUGAUGGGUUGGUCUGUGCAGCAAACCACCAUACACAGGUUUACCUAUGUAACAAACCUGUACAUCCUGCACAUGAACCCCAGAAUUUUAAAAGUUGAAGAAAAAAACAAGGAGGUUGUUAGUAUUAGAAAAAAAAUAAUGGAAAAUAUAAAAAGGUUAAUUCCUUCAGAGAUAGGUAAUUAUGUUGUUUUAUUAAGUAAUUAUUUUAUUAAGCUCCUACUGUAUGUCAGGCACUAAACUAAGUGCUUUAUAUAUAUUGGCUAUUAUAAAAGCCCUAAAAAUGACCUCUGCUAGAGAAGACACUGAUAUUCUUAACUAUUUAGAGAUGAGAAAAUUUGGGGGCUGAAGAGGGUGAGAUCCAAGAACAGAGUGAAGGUGAGGGGAGAAGGCACGCUCAGCUCCCAACUCUAAGUCUAAAGUCAACUUGCUUCUUCCCCAACAUUGCUCUGGCUCUCAAGUGAUAGUCAGUAGGAUAAAUUACAACUGGACAAUGACCAGUGAGUAAAGGGAAAAAGGCAACCUUAAUUUUAUAGUUCUAGUGAAGCUUAUUGAAAUUUUAGAGAAAAAAAACCAUUUCAUAAAAAACAAGUUUUAAACACCAAAAAUGUAUUCUUAAAUGUAGUUUUACAAAAUUGCCUCUGUACCUACUAACAUAAAAACUAAUGCAAAAAUAUUUCAGAAAACAUAUCAGAAAAAAAUGUGAGUAGUACUUUUUAAUGAUUUAAAAUUUAAAUGUAAAAAUUUAUCAAACCAGAAAAAAAAAGCAUACAAUUUUUUAAAAAGGGCAUGGUAUUUCUAAUAGGGCCAGCAAGAUAGACAUGAUAAUACUGAAUGGCCCAAUGCUUAUUUUUAUGUGACAUUAUUUUUAAUCAGCUUUUCAUAGUUCCCUUCAGCUAACAAUUUGUAGGAAAAGCAACAACACAUUGAAAAGCAGAAAGUAUGUAAUGCUCUUGUCAAAAUUUAUGUCUUUAAUUAAUUGUCAUUUAUUUCUUGCAAAUACUGCACAGUUGACCCUUCAAUACAUUGCUUAAUAUCACUUUAUUUUAAAAGAAGAAUAUUCAUAAUUUGCCUCAAUUCCUUUCCCAUUAAUUGCCCAAGAACAUGAUAACUUACCCAAAUAACCACCUAAUUUCCCUCACUAUUUGGAUCGGUCAGAAUGGGCCAGAGAGCCAUUUCAUCAACAAGAGACAAUGGAAAGGAAAUGGGCAAGAAACUGGAAACUAGAAAGUGUACCUUCCCUUGGUCCUAUCCAGUGUCAAAUGGUAGAUCUCUGUGUGGUUACUGUGAGCAUUGAAUACAAUAGUGUGAAUGCACUGUAUCAUGGAAGAAUAAGCAGUAUGUUUAAUAUCAGAAUUAGGUGGAUGGCAGUGCUUUGUAUCUGGGCAAAGUAGCCCAUUUCUGGAAGGAAUAUAGCAAUGUUGUAGGAAUAAAUAGCUUCUCAUUCUCUAGAGGUGGGGCUGACAGAAACCAAGCAGGAAUAAGGCUUUAUCCAAGAGAGCUCAGGGCAGCAGCAGACCAAAGUAGAAAAUUCAUGGUGGUUAAUGCAACAGCUGGGACAAGGGAAUAAAGGCAUGCUGAGAUGCAGCCUGCACUAAAACACCUGAACUUUGUCAAGACUGGCUCAGUAAUUGACACAGUAGAUCCAGCAAGUGGAAAAUCCAGAGAAGAGUUGGGGUUAGGGGUAGGAAGGAAGACAGGCUAAAAAACAUCUCUGUAAAUACUAGUGAAAUCUAGGCAUGGAAGUCUGCAAUGACAAGCCCACUGCCUCAGCCUCUCGCAUAGCUGGGACUAUAGAUGCGUGCCACCAUGCCCAGCCAAUUUUUGUAUUUUUAGUAGACAGGGGGUUUCACCACGUUGGCCAGGAUGGCCUCGAUCUCCUGACCUCGUGAUCCCAAAAUCCUCCCAAAAACCUCGUGAUCCCUGCCUGCCUCGGCCUCCCAAAAUGCUGGAAUUACAGGUGUGAGCCACCGCACCCUGCCUCAACAAUUUAUAUUCUUAUAAAUAUGCUCGCACUGAAUGUUUUAUAUUUAUAAUAUCUACUAUGAAAAGCAAAAACAGAGGACCAGGGGUCACAAUUGCAUUUCACCUGAUUUGGUUAAUUUAGAAAAUUCUGAAACUUUUUAUGUAUUCACCUACAAAUAAAACAGUAAAGAAUGGAUAGAAAGUAUGAGAGUAACAACAUAUAAAAUAGUAUAUUAUUUCUUUUUAGAAAAUUUUGGUAACAUUCUAUUUUUUAAAUAUGGAGUUCAGAACACGCUACCACAAAAUAAUGUAUCUUGGCAUUUGAGGAAACAACAGAAGCAAGAAGGUCACGGUCACCUUCCUUUGAUUUUUCUCCCCUGAAGCAGGUCAUAAAACCCUCAUUCUAGAGGUGCCUCGCUAUACCCAGAGAAAAGAAACAUCCUUAUCUCUGAAGGAACAGGGACACAGAGGAGAAUCUGAACAAAUAGGCCCUCCUAAAUUCCCCCAGCUUGUUCCAUUAGAUCACAUCAUACUUCUCCACAACUAUCCACUUCUUCAUCAAACUUAGCAAAAAGGUCAUAGGUUUCCCCGUUCCUUUGCUCUUCACUUCUGAAGGUUCCUGUGUUCUGUAAUGUAAUUUUAUGACAUGUCAUAAAAUUUUUAUUAAAAAAUCUGUGUGCUUUUCUCUUGUUAAUGACUUUUGUUAUAAAGGCCUCAGCUACAAACCUAGCUAUGGGUUAGAAAAGAAAUCUUUUCUUCCCUACAAGGUUGAUAUAAUUUGUGAUUUAUAAUCAUCUAAUAUAUAUUCACUUCUAAUUUGCAUGGUUUUCUUUUCUUGGGGUUUUCAAAAAAAUCUGUGUAUGACUAUGAAGAUAGAAAUCCUGAGAGGGCAAAAUUAUGCUGGGGAUCGUUUAAAUUGUAUCCGAUUCUAUAGGCUUGAGAUUUUUCUAAAGAGAAGGGCAUCUGCUAAAUGUGAUGAAUAGUUGUAUCACAAACUGCAGAGGUGUAGGUGACCUUCAAGAUCAAAUAGCCGAUAUUCUUAUUUUACAAAUAAGGAAACCAAGACUUGGGGAUUAAGGUCACACAACUGAUAGUCUAAAUGUUAGAUCUAGAAUAUAAAUGUUAAAGCAUCAGAUGUACUUCACCACAGUGAAAAAGACGAUUCUGUGUUUCAUCUUAAAGCCCAACCAAACAUGGCUCUAUUUCCUUAUAUCAGGAAAGUGUUCUUUGGCAACUAUUCAUCAAGCUUUAGAGACAGACACUUGCUGGGAAGGAAAAUCUAAAUGUCUGCUAGGGCAAGGCCAAAAAGUCUAUUUGGAUUAGCACAAAAAAGAGAGAGAGAGAGAGAAGUUGUAGUGAGUAUAAGGUGAAAGCCUCAAAAGAGAAGUAACAAAGAUGGAGAGUAGGCCCACAGACCAAAAAGAGAAAUUCACUAUGAAAUUCAAGAGCCUUGAAGAUUUUGCCCAAGAAGCAAGAGAUUGAACGAACUGAUGGGGGAACUCCUAGUAUCUCUUUUGCAUCAGUAUGUAAAAUUAAAGAGAUUAGACAUAUAUUAGUUAAGGUUCGCAUUUCUGCAAAUAUAGGGCUUGUUCUUCUAAUCCCUGGUUCUGGAAGUGUUAUACAAUAUGUGUAUGGUACAUCUAAUUAGAGAUCCUUGAGAUCCAGGGUAUUUACGAUGAUAUUUUUGUUUCAGGACUUCACAGUGAAGUACAUAGUAUUUUUUGGUUAUAUUCCUACUGCAUGGAAAACAAGAAGUAAAAAGCAAUAUCCAACCAAUCCCAUUAUUGAGAAGAGGGCAGAACUUACCUUAUCCCUAAGUGUCUCAGCCCUGCCAAAUCCAAAGAGGGAAGACAGGGAUAAUAAAAUCUGGAAUCACAUUCAGAAUUGGGCUUGAAUGAAGCCCAAGAGCAUCAGCUGAUGCUCAGAGAAAUUUAGUCUAUCAGGCAAACCUUGGCCUGUGUCAAGAAGCAUGAUAAUAGCAGGGUACAGGUCGAGGGGAAAGUCAAGAAUAGGAGUCUGAGAGGCUGACAUAGGAUGUCGCAGUUCAUAAGUAAGCAAAACUCAAGAAUGAAGGAUGAUUCAUAUUCUGACAUUUUAUUCAGAAAAUUUUAUCAGCAGGUGAAAUUCUAUCAGCAACUGGGCUAGAAAUCAGAGAACAAGUAGAUUUUUAAAAGACUUAAUGAGAGGAUAAAGGUGGAGUUCCAGGCUUCUAGAGACUAGUUGUGGGAAGCUACACAGUUAGAGAUUUAGGCACAAAGAUGGAGGCAGAACCUCAACACAAAUGCUGCAUGUGUCACUUGGAUCUGGAGCCUUUUAAACCUCUCAUUUACAAUUGGCAGGGCAGUACUGAAUACACAUGUUGGGGCCAUGUAGACCACAGCUGUGUGGAGAUGAGGGCUGCAGGAGUGAGGCAGCAUACAGUGUGAUAGAAUGUUAAAUAGAGGACGAUUUUCAAAACAAAAGAUGAGAUUAACAUAUUGGGGUAUUAAAGUCCUGUAUAUGGUGUUAUUUUAAAGAUUAAUUACUAGUAAAUCCACAGGAUCUGAUUAGAGGUUUCAUUAAAUAAAAACACUCCAGAGUCUUGGUCUCUAUUGCAAAAUGCAAAAUGUGUGAAUAUCUAACAUACUUAUGGAAUGUGAGCACAUUAUUUUUUAUAUAUGGAAGCUAAUGACUGGAAUGAAAGCAGAACAAUUUAGUUAAAUAAGCAAAUGAUCAAAAUUGACAACGUGAGGGUAAAUAAGGCCUGAAUUAAGUUGCUCAUUAUUUUUUCUUGCAGCAGACAUUGCUUUGUGUUUGGUUUAUAAGUAAGCUAUAUAUGAAGACAGAUAGGUGCCUGUGCUGAGAGGCAGAGAUAAAGGGAGAGACAGAAAAAGAGAGUCAGGUAGACAGAGGUGAGCAGAUACAUACAGCUGAAGGUCAUGUUUUGAUUAAUGUCGAAGAAGUAAUUCUGGCCAACAACAAAUACUGCAAGGGUAAGCAAAAAUUUGCUUUUCUCCUUCCUCCCUCUACUCCAGUUCACUGGACUCUCUGUUUCUGGAGAGACCUACCAUUCUUCUGCCUCAGGGAUUUUCACCUGCUGUCCUUCUAGCCAAGCCAGGAAGACUCCGGUGGCUUGGACCACAUGCUCACUUUCUUCAAGUAUCUGCUGAAAUGCUUCAUUAUUGGAGAGGUCAUCCCGCUGAUGUAUGGAGUAGGGAUUCCCCACUCCUCACAACAUUCCGAAUUCGCCUAACCUUGCCUUAUUUUCUCCAAAGCAUUUAUCACCAUAUAACAUACUACUUUUAAAAAUGCCUUUAUUUGCUAUCUCCUCCUGUUAAGAUGGUUUGAUGGAGCAAAUGAAAAUACAGGGCACCCAGUUAAAUUUGAACUUCAGACAAGCAACAAAAAACUUUUUAGUUAAUUAUAUCCUAUCCAGGCAUGGUGGCAUGCACCCAUAGUCCCAGCUACUAGGGAGGCUGAGGUGGGAAGAUGGCUUGAGUCUAGGAGUUCAAGGCUGCAGUGAGCUAUUAUGGCACCACUACACCCCAGCAUGGCAACAGAGUGAGACCUUGUCUUUUUUUAAAAAAAAGAAUAAUUAUGUUCUAACUAUUGCAUCAGACAUAUGAAAAAUAUUAUUACUUGUCCUUGUCAUUACCUAUUCUGACAACUUAUUCAUUGUUUAAUUAUUUAAGUGUCCCAAAUAUUUCAUGGAACAUACUUGUACUAAAAAUUUAUUUGUUGUUUAUCUAUUAUUCAUCCCGUUUCCCUUCCUUCCCCUUACUCCUUCACCUAGAAUUUAAGCUACUUGAGGUUAACCUAUUUGAGGGCAGAGACUUGGAACAUUGUGUUCAUUGCUGUGUUCCCAAUACCUUGACCGGUGCCUGGUAUAGAGCAGAAACUCAACAUAUAUAAAUUGAAUGAAUUAAUCGUUCCAUUUCUCUGGAAUAUCCAUCCCAUCCUUAAUUCUCAUCUUGUUUAAAUCUCUUAAUAUAAUGAUUAAAUAGAGUCUCUUGCUGUCAUGGAAAACAUUUUGUUUUCUCUGCAAGUUCUAGCAUAUAGUUUGGAAUUUGCUGGAUACAGUAAGUUUGUAACAUUCAACUAUGGUAAGCAAAAAAUUGAAAAUAUUUUUGCAUACCAUUUACGCAUUCUUAGACACUAUAAAAAACUCAAAUAUUAAACAAUUUUCAGGUUGGAUAUGUAUAUAAAUUUAAAUAACUUAUAGAUAAAAUGUGUUAAUCUUAUGUACGUAUUUAUGCUUAUGUGUCAUAUUUUCAAAAAUUUCAAACUUUAUUAUAGUCACAUUUUUGACUUUGAAGUUUAUUAUAUUCACAUUAAAUGAACAGGAUGUCAUUUAAUACUCCUCCUCAUCUCUGGACAAGAUUUUAUCAUUCUAUUUCAUUAGUCUCCCAGUAUGAACAAACUACGAAAGAGAGAGGUUACACAAUAUCCAUGAUUAUUCUGUUUUAGAGUGUUGUUGCUCUUUUUUACCCCAUCUUUAAUUGGUAAUUAAAUUUAGUUUAUCUUUUUUAUUGUUCAUAGAAGAUAAUCCUUUUUAUAUUUAAAGACAGAAUAAGAAAUUCUACAGAUAACAAUGAAAUAAUGACAGCUGUGUAUAUAUAUGCCUAUAUAUAGAACUGUAAACUGUAAAACAAUAUGUCAUUUUAUUCUCUGAUGUUUUAAUUAAAUCAUUACCUUUUAAAUUCAGAAUGGCAGAAAUCCAGUGUUUUAAUGAGCACCUAGCUGAGUAAGUGUUUUGUGUUGAAUUGUGCCUCUUAAAAAGAUAUGUUGAAGUCCUAAUCCCCGGUAUCUAUGAAUAUGACUUUAUGUGGAAAUAGGGUCUUUGCAGAUGUAAUUAAGGUGAAGUCAUUCUUGAGUAGGGUAGGCCUUAAGUCCAACAUAACUGGUGUUCUUAAAUGAACAGAAGAGACAAAGACAAUGAGGGAAGACAGCCAUGUGAAGACAGAGGCAGCAAUUAGAGUUAUGUUGCCACAGUUAAGAAGUGCCUGGGGCUACCAGAAGCUGGAAGAAGCAAGGAAGGAGCCUUCCCUAAAGGAGUUCAGAGGAAGCACUGCCUGACUGACAUCUUGAGUUUGGAUUUCUAGUCUUCAGAACUGUGAGAGAAUAAAUUUCUUUUGUUGAGGUUAUGCAAAUUGGUGGUUUGUUAUGGUAGCAAACAAAUAUAGUAGGCAUUUAACCACAUUUAGGCUUUGGGAUACAGUUUUCUGAUCUAUAGUAGUGUUUAUUGUCCACAGAAGUAUUAAUAAUUACUUCUUUCCUUGUACUCUUUUAGCACAGAUUUAUUAUAUUUGGGUUCCCCCACUCUCUUAGACUGUGAGCUUUUUAAGGACAAAGUCCAUAUCAUUUGUUAUUGUAACUUCAGAACUCAUAAUAGUGUCUGGCAUAGAAAGUAGUAAAUAAAAUCUUGAAUUAGCCAAUAAAUUAUUUUUAAAUAAAAUUUACAAAGAUUUCUGUACACUUCCAGCCAAUAAUAUACUGAAGAAGGAUCUGUUGCUCUCAAACACACACCCUGAAUUCUAUUUUUAUUUUGUUUUUCUAGUUAUUUAAGUAUUUUUUGAAAAGGAUGAGGCUCAGCAUUUCAAGAUAUUUGUUUCUUUUGUCUAUAUAUCUUCACUUUUGAAGGGCAGAACCCUCUUCCUUUAUUUAGAGUUUGUGUUUAGAGGGGAACCGAGGUUUGAGUUAUCUACUCUUAUGUACACACAGCGUAGACUAUUUUUUACUACUUGCAGCUAUUACUUAUCUCAAAUUUUGGCUAAUUGAAACAAAACCAAACAAUUUUCUUUCUUUUUUUUCCUUUCAACUUUUAUUUCAGAUUCAGAGGGCACCCAUGCAGGUUUGUUACAAAAGUAUACUGCAUGAUAUUGAGGUUUCGAGAAUAAAUGAUCUGUCACUCAGGUAGUAAGCAUAGUACCCAAUAGGUAGUUGUUCAGCCUUGCCCCUGUCGCUGUCUUUCCUCUUCAGUAAUCCCCAGUAUCUGUUGUUCCCGUGUUUAUGUUCAAGUGUACCCAGUGCCAAACAAUCUUUAGUACAUCUUUCUAGUUUAGCUUUGCAGAAUAAAGUAAAACUUUAGAAAAAGAAAAAAAAGAAGAGAAAAACGCCUAAAAAAUUGGUGUUGGAAAUAGGAACUUAGAAUAGAAGUGUAACCUCAAAUACAAGUAUAGCCACAACAUGGAUUCACAAUAGCAAAGAAUGCUGCAUUUUUAAGAAAACAAAAAGACCUUCAAGGUUAAAAAAAGAGAUAAUGCAACGCUAAUAAUCAAUUAGACUAAAAAAAAAUGAGCCUGAAAACCAUAAUCUGACUUUCUUUGUCCUUGGGCAAAUUAAUUAGCCAUUAAUUUCUCACUAGAAAUUGUUAAUAAGAGCAAAUGUUCUCUCAAGAGUGUUGUUAGAAUUUCUUGAGGUCUAUAAAGCAUUUUGGAGGCAAAAAUGUUGACUUGGCAAAUGCUAUUCUCACACUGAUGGACAUGUAUCUAGAUUCCUGGGUCUAUCUUGAUCAGUUUGUAUGCCACUCAUUGGGUGUAUUGGUAGAUCCACUACGGUUAUAUAAACUAGCAGAAAUGCUUGAUAAACCGCCUUCAAAGAAUAGGCUUUGGUUAUAAUAGAAGCAUUAUUAUUUACCUAUGACACCUUAAUUAGCUUUUGAAAAAUUUGAAAGGAUGAAAAUGAAAGGCAUUUGAACACUCUUAUAACCCUGCAAAGCAUUAUGUUCAAGGUUAUAUUUGAGCAUCUCUUUAUUUUUCUCAUUUAUUAUUUAUUGAUUCUGUUGGACAAUGAGACUUAAUUCUAUUCUAUUCAAUUUUUCCAUUUUGCAUCUCAAAACAGCAGUAUUUGUAUUUUUGGAAACAUAAAAGUAAAAAUUAUUCUUUCACCCAAACACUUUACUCCCAUUAAAAUAAAAAGAGUAACACAACAGUUAUGUUUGCCAAGAGGACUGAGAUCCAGAAAGGGAUUUUAACAUCUGACUAUAUCCUUAUUUCAUACUUAUUAUGUGUUCAUUUGUAAACACACGAGUAUUUUUCUAUCAAUGUCAAGUCACAUGUAAGUCAUAGUUAGUAGCCAUCUUUCUACAUUACAGGGAUUUUUAGAUUCCUUUUUAUAUUUUUAAAAUUUUGAAUUAGUAUUAAAAUUAAUAUUAUAAUAUCCAUAAAUAAAAUAGAAAAAUCACUUAGAGUCUCAACAUCCAAACACAAUUGAAAAAAAAUAGAAACAUGUAUAGACAAAUAUAAAAAGAACAUAUGUUCUGAAAAAGUCUGUGAAUAUUUUCAACAAAUACAUUUAAAUAAGAGCUUAAGUCAGCAUUAUGGCCUUAGUUAUGUAUGUAAUGUAUUUUGUGAAGCCUAAAAUUAUAGAAGAAACAGUGCAUAAAAUAUGUUUCUGAUUAACUUGUCUACUUAUGGAUUUAAGUUUUGUUUUUAGCUGCUGUGGUUUACACUCUUGUGAAAUCCUUACCAGAAAUAUUACCUGUGGUCUUGGUUUCACAUUGUUCAUCACCAUUUAUAGAUGAACACCUGCCAUUCCUGUUCUCUCUCUUCUGAAAAACACAUUAAUUCACUACAACAAUUUACCCAUAAAACUAUAAUCAUUAACUGCCUUUCCUUUAUUGAACUCUAGAGCUUUGGCUUUAUAAUUCUAUUUGGCCUGUAUAUGCAGGAAGAGUAUUGAAAUGGUCUAUAUUUAUUUCUUCUCUCUGACAUAGAUGGAAACAGUCAGAGUGACUCUACACACUUCCUGCUUCCACGUUUAGCAUCCCCAAGUGAAGAGAUAUGAAGAGUGUUCAAAAGAUGCUACAAAAUGUUUAGUUUUCAACUCUCCAGAGGAAGCUGACAUGGCAACACUCUGUUAUUUGAAGAUUUGAGUUUUCCUACUACAAGGAAGAAGUUGUAACUUCUGACUUAGUAUGAGGUUCAAGCCAGAUGGAUCAUGUGAUGCAGUCUUGUCAAUGAAAACAGGAAGACAUUUCUCAAGAUUAGAAUGGUCCUGGAACAAAAAAUUGCCUUACCAAGUAAUCAGUGCCUACUAUUGGAUGUAUUCAGGUAAGAACAAUAACAACAAAAAAGCUACAGUUUUAUGAGAUA